rnacentral:rRNA from 1 species
ACGGUACUGGUUCACUAUCGGUCACUAGAGAGUAUUUAGCCUUAGGAGAUGGUCCUCCCAGAUUCCGACGGAAUUUCACGUGCUCCGUCGUACUCAGGAUCCACUCAAGAGAGAAUAUGUUUUCGACUACAGGAUUAUUACCUUCUUUGAUUCAUCUUUCCAGAUGAUUCGUCUAACAUGUUCUUUUGUAACUCCGUAUAGAGUGUCCUACAACCCCAACAAGCAAGCUUGUUGGUUUGGGCUCUUCCCGUUUCGCUCGCCGCUACUCAGGGAAUCGAUUUUUCUUUCUCUUCCUCCGGGUACUAAGAUGUUUCAGUUCUCCGGGUCUGCCUUCUGACAUGCUAUGAAUUCACAUGUCGA